GACGAACGCUGGCGGCGUGCUUAACACAUGCAAGUCGAACGGUGGAGCGCCUUCCUUUUUGUCGGGUGUGGAUGAGUGGCGAGCGGGUGAGUAACACGUGAGUAACCUGCCCCCUUGUUCUGGAUAACCGCAUGAAAGUGUGGCUAAUACGGGAUAUUCUGGGUCUGUCGCAUGAUGGGUCUGUGAGAGCUUUCGUUUCGGUGGGGGAUGGGCUCGCGGCCUAUCAGGUUGUUGGUGGGGUGAUGGCCUACCAAGGCGGUGUCGAGGAGCCGGCCUGAGAGGGUCGACGGCAACGGUGGGACGGAGAGGCGGCGCAGACUACGAGGGGAGGCAGCAGGGAGGAUUAUUGAACGGUGGGAGGAAGGAUGAAGCAGCGACGCGGGGGGAAGGAUGGAGGCCGGCUGGUAGUGAACUUCUUUCGGGAGUGAAGCGGGGCUGCCUCGUAUGUGGGUGGGUUGACGGUAGCUGGAUAAGAAGCGCCGGCUAACUACGUG
rnacentral:rRNA from 1 species